AGCAUUUUUAGGUAGCAGUUAUUCAGAAAAAGCCCUGGGGGUUUUCAUGACCUGCAAACUGGGUAUGAGUCAGCAGUGAGAUGUGGCCAAGAAAGUGAAUGUGAUCUUGGGCUCCACUUAGAGGCUGGGCUUCCAGGAAAAGGGAAGUGGCUGUCCCACUCUCCCUUGCUCUGUUCAGAUCUCAUCUGGUUCCAUUCUGGGCCACGAGGUUUAAGGAUAUUGGUAAGCUGAAGAAGGCAGAGCUGGAUAGUGAAAAGUUUUAUAUUCGUGCCACUGUGAGGAUCAGUGAAUGAAUUAGGACCAGUUAGCCUACUGAAGAAAACCCUGGGGAAAUGUGAAAGCUGUCUGUCCCGGGCCUUUUUAAGCUCCCAAAGUCACCACCUGGUCCAGGGCCAGGACUGGACAAAGAAUAAGAAAAGACGAAAACAGGAGGCCAACAUUCACUGGCCACAUAUUGGCCCAGAUGGGAAGAAUGGAAGAUGAAGCCAGGAAGGAGUGAGCC